rnacentral:misc_RNA from 1 species
GGGAGUUGGACAACGGAGUUGGCCGUUUAAGGUGGUCGGUGGUCCUCGGAGCCAGUCGUCGAAGGUGAUUUCAGGAGUUGAACAACAGGCAUCAGUGGUGAUGAGGGUUGAGUGUACUGUUGGUGGACAUGGUAUAAAAUGUCGAUGACAUGUGAAGCUGACCUCCCAAACACUUUGUUGAAUUCAUAUUUCAACUCAACUCAUCUCUUAUCCUUACCCCAAACAC